ACAGCAGCAGCCUAACAGUGAUGCUUAAUCAGGAAGGAGGUCUGGUGACUAAUACAAAUGAAUGGUCAGAGAAUGGAAAAGGCCUUGGGAUGGCAGGCAUGCCCAGCCAGGUAUAGCACAGGGCUUCUGUUUUACUGAAAGUAACAUCACAUCAGAGAAGCUGCCUAUGGCUGGGCUCUGUGUAAAUAAAAGAAGGAAUGUGCUCUAUGCCAUUAAUUCACAGUGAGGAAUCUAAACUAAGGCUGGACAAGGAUGGCUCCAAUGCAAACACUGCUGGGACAAGCUGUGGGUGACAUCCCAGGCUGCUUAACCUACUGUGCUUCGCAGAAUUAUGGGAAAGGAAGGAAAGAUGUGCAGCAGAAGUAAUCAUCAGAUUCCCUAUCUGCCACACCUGGAGUAUGAUCGCCUCAUUAACAAUCAAAUGUCCACUAAGGAGCAAAUCAAAACAGUCUGUCUCAUCUUCAAAAAUAAACAAGGACACUUGUGAAGACAAAACAAAGCAGCUGUAUGCAGGAAGAACAAAAACAGAGGUAUGCCUUGUGCUCAGGUGGGUUUUACCAGACGGUAGAUAGUUUUCCAACACAUGUUUAAAGAUUUUAAAGAGAUUUGUUUUUAUAAAAUUCUAUGUUUAUUUGGUUGCUAAACUGUCUAUAAAGUUGUCUCAUUAGAAAUGACUGGCACCCAUUCCAAAUUUGUGUUCUACAGGAAAUGAGGAAAUUCAUAUUAAAAAAAUAUAUUUCCAGAGGAGAACAAAAGUUUAGAAAUACUAGAAUUUCCUACCAAAAUUUUUUCUGUUUCUGUAAAAGAAAUAUUACUUCAAUUUUUAUCUUUGAAGAUGGAGUAAAUUGCUAUUCCUAGCUUAGAUGAAUUCCUCACAUCAUUCUGUUUUCUGAAACAGCUGAGGGAGUAACCCUGAACAAUUGCUUGAUGUAAAGGAGAGCCCUAAAACUUGAGAACUCUGCCAGAGUACCAGGAAGCUCUGUGGUAUGUGUGCAACUUCUGUGGCAUUGUGGGACCCAAAGAUUAGUAACCACAAGAGGCUUUUGCUUCAGUUGAGCAGAAAUCUGUCAUUUGGUAGCAGUGUGAAAAACUAUCUUUUUGUUGCUAUUGAAACAUUUUGGUUUCCAGGAAUCAGCACUUUCUAAUAAAAAUGAGUGGAAAAACAUUCCACACAGAAGCAUACUGCUAGAAAAUUUCAAACCAGAUCAUUUUCCUUACGGUAUAAACUUAGUGAUCAGUGACUUACUAAAAGGCACCAUCACCCCUUCACAUGGCCAAGUACUAUGGAAAUACACAGCACAAAGUAUAUUUGUGUAAGUCUGUAUAUAGAAGGACUGGAAAUCUGAGGAAGUUAAAGUUUGGAAAGGCAGAAAAGCAAAAGAUAAGUAAUAUGAUGAACAUUUUAAAACAAGGAAUGGGGUUUUUUUGUUCGAUGUUCCCUGAAUGUUGUCUGUUACCUGAAAAUUUCUCAAUAGAGUUAACAGUAGAAGAGAUAGAAGGUAGUAGAGACUGAACAGGCAUUUUUAUCAUCGUGGCACAGAGGGCACAACAGUAAACAUCAGUGACUUCUGUAUUCAAAAUAUUCCACCUGCCACUAGAUGCGAGUGGAGCUGCACUGAAAUUUUAAUGUUACGAGGAUUUGAGUCUGCAUACAUGGAGCUUCAGUACCAAUUAAGGCAUUCAAAUUACUUCUUUCACUGUGUCUUAUUUUCCCAGUUCUUGAGAAAUCAGCCACUAUCAUUUCUGAUUUGCAUUUUAAAUGUUAGCAUAGAAGAAAUGACCUUCUGGCCUUCAUGAAGUCAUUGAGGGAAUUCCCAUACAUUUCAGCACUAAAAGGAUUUUUAGCCCAAGAAUCAAGGGCUAAAUCUGAAUUAAAUAUCUACCUUUAAGAGGAAGAAAGUAAGGAUGUUUUCAGAUGUAAAUUUUCAUAUUUUUCCUUUCUCCUGGAAGCCUGACCCAAAAACCUAUUUGGGAAAUAAGUGGAAAAAAAGGUUUUUGUAUUGCCUCCUCUGCUCACAGUGCUGGUACUGUUGGUCCAGUUGACCCCUGUCCACUAAUGGUAGGAGCAUAAGAUUUUGAAAGCCUGGGGUCCAGAGGGUUAUGACAAAUCCAUAAGAAAGUUGCACAGGGGCUAGCUACCUCCCUUGUGUUUUCAACUCUGAAGUCCAGCUUUAUAAAUCAGAGGAGCUGUUAAUUCUAGGAAGAGUUAAAUAGAUUUGCAAAGAGAAAUUGAGACAUUAAGAAACUCCUGUCAUCAAACUUACAGUGUAAAUAACCAUUGCUAUCUGAUCUGAAAGAGAAAUUUGAGUUCAUAAGGGCUUAUGAUGUAGAAGGAAUGUUACUAGCUUAAUUGGUCAAGCAAAAUGUACCACCUACUUAAUGAUAUAAUUGUACUUCCUUUAUUGCUUCUGGGUUGUCUGGAUUCCCUUCGCCCCCUCACAUAUGAUAUCAAUUCUGCAGAUGCAUUCACAGAUUGUAAGUGUUCCUUGCUAGAAAAGAGACCUACUAUAGCUCCUGGCAGGUUUUUGGGAUCUUAAAACAAUUGCAGUCAAUAUUUAACUUUCAAUGCCACUUCUGUGAUCUGGUUACAAAUGAGUGACUGCAUUUUAAGAGCAUUUGAGCCAUCAGGAGAGCAGAAUGUUCAUCUUUCCUCUUCAGGAGUACUGACUGUUUGUCCCAGCAGCUUUGACUCUUCUUUACUUAUGAGCAGUUCAGGAAUUUCAAUGAAUCCGGUCAUUCUCAUUCCACCUGCAAGGGGCAAGAAGCACAUGCCAGUUGCCACAGUUAUAGAAAAGGAAUAUGAUUUAUAUGAUCUAGCCAUCUAUAUGUUCUGCUUCCUCUCUGGCAAAAAGUCUUGAUGUACAGCACUCAACAGCAUGUUUUAGUCUUUAAAAAAUAAGAAACUUUCCAUUUUCCAACACUGAAAAGUACUAUUCGCAAAUCAGGAAAAAGUGUAAGAUGGAACAUGCACUGAUGUUAGUUUUAAGUACAUAUUUAGUUUUCAUACAUGAUCUGGAAACACUAGAAUUUUUUUGUAAGAGAUUAAUUUAUAGGUGAUUUAUUCUAUUGAAGUUUUGCAUGCAAGGUAUACAUUGCAUCUUGUGAAAUACAUUACUGUUGUAACUCUGUGAGGAGAGGAUUCUCCAGAUCUUGUUCACCCCUGUUUACCUCUGUUGCAAGCUAUCAUUAGGCUACAAAAAUGCAAUCAUGUUUUGCAUUGCACAGAACUGCAUUAAAUUGGAUUUUGAUAAUCCCCACACCUUUCCAUAAACACCAGCACAAACACUGUUUUGCUUGGUUAUUUUAAUUACUUUCUCCCAGUAGGAGAGAGCACCCAAUAAUUGUUGUUUGGUUAUUAUUUGCUCAAUUCUUACGAACGGAAUGUUCACUGCUUCCUGUCUUUGCUCUGUACAUUUUAGUACUGGCCAUGGCAGUAGAACAGAGGUACUUUAAAAUAUCCUGUCAUCUUUGCUAUGGCAAAAUUAAGGCUGUUUUAAUCACUCAGGAACAAGCUAUUCCUACAGAAAGAAAAAUUUCUCUACAUGACACCUAUGUGUGAUCAGCCUCUCUGUCCACUGGGUGACACCAGCAGCCUAUCUGACAUCUGCUAGCUGUGCAUAGCACCACAGAACACAUAUCUGGAGGAGAUUUAACCACAGAGCUGCUUUUUUCCUGGUAACACUAGGAACAUUGCCUUUCUGUCUGGUGGGAAAGUGAGAUAAAUUAAUAGGAAAACCAAAAUGCAGGGAAAAAACGAAAAAACUAAAACAUCUCCCAAAACUACUACCUUUUGUUGACAAGGUGGAAGGAGACAAAGUGAGAAAAUACUCCAUAAAACACUCGACGAACUGAAGGCCUGUUGUGCAAACUCAUUAAAAGGACAUGCUUUAUUAUGAAUGAUCCACAGGCUGAUGAAAAUUAUUGCGAACAGCUCUGAGUCUCAGGUAAUAAAUUACUGAGAUGCAGUUUGAUUCUGUCCCAUAUUACCUUUCUUGCAUUCCCACAUGGAAAUAAUUUAUCAGUUUUAAAACAAAGAUCAUGAUAACAUGCAAUUUUAUUUCAGCUGGUAAACCGAUUAAUCCUUAGAACAGCUUACAUGCUACUUUUUAAAAAUAAUUUAAAACAUUCUCAUAUAUAGGCAACAUUUUGGUUUGGUUUUGCUGUUGAUUUGUCACUUUUCCUUUACCUGUUAUUCACUGCUACAAAGAUUAGCCACCAGUACAUGCUCGAUUUUAGUCCUCCUCUGAUACAGAUAUAAACAAAAGAUGCAUGAGGAGUAAAACCUAAAACCUAAUUAGUCUGUCAUCGUGGUCUUAAUUGUUUUAAAAGCUGAAUGGUAAAAGCAAGGUGGCUGGUUCUUUUGCUUCAACAAGAAACUAACUGUUGUUUAAGGAAGAAUGGAGUUUGUUUUUAGAAGGAAUGUGUUAAUAGUCCUUCCUGUCAACACUCUUAAUGUCUCUCAUGGUAAAUAAUCAGCCCAUGAUCCUAUUUCACCUGGUUACCCCUCCUGCGGCCUUUCAGUUGAUAGAGUGAACAUCCCAUACAAAGGGGGCUCUUUCUGCUGUUUCCAGGGGAGUAUUCAACCCAUCUUCAAGCAAUUCCCAGACAGACCUACCCAGUUGUUCCUGUUCUCAGCGGGAACAGCUUUAUGCUACCAAAAGCUGUAGCAGUUCAGAACAGUGAAAGUUACUGACACAAGCCAGGACUGGCUUGUUGUUAACACUCGACCAAAGCCGUACUGCAGUAUACCAGCAUUCUCUGAGGAUAGGGGGACACUAAGGAAACCUGCCUGAAGUAGCAGCUCCAGUUCUCCUUGUGUUAUUGCAUACAGUAGUGACUUGCAAAUACCAGAAGAAAGAUAAGAAGCUUUAAAUGCAACUCUGCCAGAAGUCACAAGUUGGAAAGGGUCACAGUCAACUCCAGAGUAGCUCAAAAGCAAAGUAAUAAAUAAUAUUCAGAAGUUCUGGAUUCUAAAAUAGGCUAUGGUACUUUUCUGUUGAACAACAGCACAGCGUCUACUGAUCUGAGACUGGCCCAAUUGCAGUUUAAAAGUAAUAGUCAUAAAGAAUGAAAUCAUUACAUUUAGGGUAGACUGCAAUUCCCCUUUUCUGUAUUUCUGAAAAAUUUGUUAUGUGCCAGAGAUGACAAAAUUGAUUGAUCAAUUGGUCAUGCCUGAUUGUCUGGAAUGUUCAAAGCUUGUUAGAGACAGCUCCAGAAGCAUUGUGCAAUACUCACUAACUGAUAAUCAGUUGGUGUAUGAAAUUAGUAGUCUGCUAGUCACUAUGUGCAGAGUAAUUUACAUAGGGAAAAAGAUUCAGAAUUAUUCCUAAAGAUGGAUACAAUAGCUUUUAACACUGAGGUAAGAGAUCUAAGACUCAUUCAGUGACAAAUCCCUGAAAACUUUUGAUCAUUCUUUGUAAUGCAAGUACAAUGUUAGUCAAAGGAUAAUAAAAACAUUCUUGAGAUUCUGGUACACAGCACAUGACUGUCUUCAUCACAUCUCAAUGAGGGAGAUAAAUAUAGAAUGGCUGUUCAUAUAAUGAAGGACUAAAUAAGGUAGCUUACAAAAGAGGCUAAGAUGAGAUAAGAGAGAGCUUUAUAAAGCAAAAAUGUUGUGGCAAAGGAAUUAGAAAUAAUUAUUGAUUGUUUCUGAACACACAGACUGAUCAGACGCACCAAGGAAGAGAUAAACAGCAGAUUUCAAACAAAAGAAUGUUCUUUUUCUAACAGCACAUCAUUAAAUUGUGGAGCUCUUUGCCACAGGAUGUUGAGGAGGCCAAAAGUGUAAGUGUGCUCAAAAUGGAAUUAGAUACAUUCCUGAGUGCUGGCUCUGUUGGCAACUGUGAAAAGUCAUGGCCCAGACACAACUUUUGGUUGAGGAAAUCCCUAAAUUGUUAAUCCCCUGGUAACUGAAGUCCACCGAAUUGUUAACUGCUUAUGGCUCAUAUGGAUCACAAAAAGAAGGUUCUUUUUUUAAAUGUUAUUCCAUUCCUCCCCCACUUACCAGGCACUCACAGGGACAGGAUGGUAGACAAGUUAAAUGAGCCUUUGGUAUAAUCCUGCACAUUUGUUUUUAUACCAGUAUGUGCAAGGUUAUUGCUUUAAUUGGAGUAAAAUUUUAGGAUUAGGGAGGAAAAUGCACAGAGUUCAUGAGAAGAAGGUUCUUUACUUCUGAAGUCAUCCUUGGCAAAAUAUAUAAAACAAUUUUGUAUAUAUUUAAUUUUUAAAGCCUUGAUGAAGCAAAACUAAUGUUCCCAGGAGGGGAAGGUUUCCCUCAAACUGUGUAAAAGAUUAAAAACCUACUUAAUUUUACAUGCUUUCUUCUGGAGGCAGAUA